AGUGGCGAACGGGUGAGUAACACGUGGGAAUCUACCCAGGGGUACGGAACAACCGCGGGAAACUGCGGCUAAUACCGUAUACGCUCUAGCGAGGAAAGAUUUAUCGCCCCUGGAUGAGCCCGCGUCCGAUUAGGUAGUUGGUGGGGUAACGGCCCACCAAGCCGACGAUCGGUAGCUGGUCUGAGAGGAUGGUCAGCCACACUGGGACUGCGACACGGCCCAGACUCCUACGGGAGGCAGCAGUGGGGAAUCUUGGACAAUGGGGGAAACCCUGAUCCAGCCAUGCCGCGUGGAUGAUGAAGGCCUUAGGGUUGUAAAAUCCUUUCGUCGGGGACGAUAAUGACGGUACCCGAAGAAGAAGCUCCGGCUAACUUCGUGCCAGCAGCCGCGGUAAUACGAAGGGGGCUAGCGUUGUUCGGAAUUACUGGGCGUAGAGCGCGUGUAGGCGGGCCGAUAAGUCGGGGGUGAAAGCCCAGAGCUCAACUCUGGAAUUGCCUUCGACACUGGCGGCCUGGAGCAUGAUAGAGGCGAGUGGAAUUGCGAGUGUAGAGGUGAAAUUCGUAGAUAUUCGCAGGAACACCAGUGGCGAAGGCGACUCGCUGGAUCAUUGCUGACGCUGAGACGCGAAAGCGUGGGGAGCAAACAGGAUUAGAUACCCUGGUAGUCCACGCCAUAAACGAUGAGGGCUAGUUGUCG
rnacentral:rRNA from 2 species